rnacentral:rRNA from 1 species
UACGUAGGGGGCAAGCGUUGUCCGGAAUCAUUGGGCGUAAAGCGCGCGUAGGCGGCCCGAUAAGUCUGCUGUGAAAGUCAACGGCUCAACCGUUGAAAGCCGGUGGAUACUGUCGGGCUAGAGUCCGGAAGAGGCAAGUGGAAUUCCUGGUGUAGCGGUGGAAUGCGCAGAUAUCAGGAGGAACACCUAUAGCGAAGGCAGCUUGCUGGGACGGUACUGACGCUAAGGCGCGAAAGCGUGGGGAGCGAACAGG